GAUGAACGCUGGCGGCGUGCCUAAUACAUGCAAGUCGAGCGAACAGACGAGGAGCUUGCUCCUCUGACGUUAGCGGCGGACGGGUGAGUAACACGUGGAUAACCUACCUAUAAGACUGGGAUAACUUCGGGAAACCGGAGCUAAUACCGGAUAAUAUAGUGAACCGCAUGGUUCAAUAAUGAAAGACGGUUUUGCUGUCACUUAUAGAUGGAUCCGCGCCGCAUUAGCUAGUUGGUAAGGUAACGGCUUACCAAGGCAACGAUGCGUAGCCGACCUGAGAGGGUGAUCGGCCACACUGGAACUGAGACGCGGUCCAGACUCCUACGGGAGGCAGAGGUAGGGAAUCUUCCGCAAUGGGCGAAAGCCUGACGGAGCAACGCCGCGUGAGUGAUGAAGGUCUUCGGAUCGUAAAACUCUGUUAUUAGGGAAGAACAAAUGUGUAAGUAACUAUGCACGUCUUGACGGUACCUAGUCAGAAAGCCACGGCUAACUACGUG
rnacentral:rRNA from 1 species